GUGCUCACUUUGGCAACACACAUACUAAAAUGAUACAGAGAAGAUUAGCAUGGCCCCUGCACAAGGAUGACAUGCAAAUUCAUGGAGUGUCCCAUAUUUUU
ensembl:snRNA U6 U6 spliceosomal RNA